AGGCAAAUGAAGAGCUUACUCGGAUUCCCCUUCAAGACUUCAUGGGUGAUGUAAAACCGAGUUUCUGAUGCA
rnacentral:snoRNA from 1 species